CUCUCUCUCUCUCUCUCUCUCUCUAUUUUGAUAGAUGAAAAAAUAGUACAAUACCAUAUUCUCACCAAAAAUAGUAGAAUACUGUUUACCGUUCUACAAAAUCCGUGAAAUCAUAAUUUUGAAAGACAUUUUAUGCAUACAUUUUUCCCGCCAAAACCUUAUAUUCAAGGUCUUAUGUAUUUUGCACCAAAACUUUAAAACUAGGUGUAGACAUCCGGGUACGCGGAUCGGGUUCGGCUAAAACCCAAUCAAGUAAGGAUCUUUUGGUUAGAGAGGGCCAAUUUUAAAGACCAAUACCCAAAUUUUAUAUUAAAUACUCGUGUUUUAGGUAAGAUUUUGGGUUUUCGGUAAAUUUGGAUAUUCUAAUCAAAUAUCCGGGUAUAUUUGGGUUCGUGUCGGGUUCUUGUUUGGUUGUUUGGGUCGAGGAGUUUAGGACCCAAUAGGAUAAAUCUAAAUUUUUGGCUUUGGUUUCAGGUCCGAUUUUUGGGUCGAAAAA
rnacentral:sRNA from 1 species